rnacentral:rRNA from 1 species
UACACUCUACGGGAGGCAGCAGUGGGGAAUAUUGGACAAUGGGCGCAAGCCUGAUCCAGCCAUGCCGCGUGAGUGAUGAAGGCCCUAGGGUUGUAAAGCUCUUUCACCGGUGAAGAUAAUGACGGUAACCGGAGAAGAAGCCCCGGCUAACUUCGUGCCAGCAGCCGCGGUAAUACGAAGGGGGCUAGCGUUGUUCGGAUUUACUGGGCGUAAAGCGCACGUAGGCGGACUAUUAAGUCAGGGGUGAAAUCCCGGGGCUCAACCCCGGAACUGCCUUUGAUACUGGUAGUCUUGAGUUCGAGAGAGGUGAGUGGAAUUCCGAGUGUAGAGGUGAAAUUCGUAGAUAUUCGGAGGAACACCAGUGGCGAAGGCGGCUCACUGGCUCGAUACUGACGCUGAGGUGCGAAAGCGUGGGGAGCAAACAGGAUUAGAAACCCCGGUAGUCCCAUG